GGAGAACGAGCCCAUUUGGCUAACAACUGGCGACUCCGCCGGGACUUUCCCUGUAGAGGGCGCUGACGCUCCCGGUGGCUAGUGAGCUGGUACUGAGAGGAGUGGCCACCUCGAGCUGAUUGUGCGGCUCGUGCUCUCGGACCACCUCGGCCUAUCGGGGCAGCGGUGUCCUCUUUAGAGAGGGUCCCACAGGACACAGAGACCUUGAGUUUGUUGGUUCAUCGGUUCCCGAGUCCCCAGAGCCGGACGCGGCCAUUCCGGGUGGUAAGUGCGUUUACCUCUAGGGUUUGAGGCUUAACGCCCCCGAAGUGUGGAUUGGAUAACGGAACUUUGUAGGUGAUUUGUAUGAAUGUGAUGUAUGGAAUGAGUUGUUAUAAUAUAUAACUGUUAUAUAUAUAUGUGAGAUUUGCCAAUAUGUGUAGGUGUUGUAUAGAGCGGUUCUUAUGUUUGAUGGGCAUAUUGAUUGUAUUUCUCUUAGUUGAUGAUCUCAUCUCCUGUUUACUUUUAUGCUGCUAACAGGCCUGCUUCUACUGUGAUUUAAAAAGUAUAGAUUGUAUUUCUAAAGUUGUUGUUUGACUGUGAGGGGAUAUUGAAGGCUUAAGCUGACUCCAGCCGCUCCAGGACUCCUGCAAAGGGAAACCCGGUGGCCAGGAUACCUUGAUCGCAAAGGAGACUGUUUUAUCCCAGCUACAUCGAUACGCAGCCUCUUUUCAGACUCUGCCUCUUGACCAGCCUGUUCAUCCAUUCCAAAUUGGUGAUCAAGUCCUUGUUAAGAAGUGGAAGCGUGAUCCCCUUACACCCCGGUGGGACGGCCCACACACAGUUUCACUCAUCAGCCACGCUGCAGUUAAACUCCUUGGGAGCGACAAGUGGACACACCACACGCGGGUAAAACGAUUCAUCGUUCCUGACAAGGGGACACUAGAAGCGGACACCAGCCCUCUGUCCACCCCGGCACCGGAAGCCCGGAGGGACACAGGCGAAACUAUAAGCAAUUGGACCGACCCUUUGCCCACCCCGGCACCGGAAGCCCGAGGUGGCACAGGAGAAGCUGCGGAUUGGACAUACGAACCACUAGACGGAUUG
rnacentral:lncRNA from 1 species